GGCUGUUUUCCUUGCAUUCUUCAGAGCAGCUUCUCACAGCCUCAAAAUGUCCUUGCUGCUUCGAGAUGUGUCACAGGUGGAGUCACCCUUCACCCUUGCUCCAAUCCCAGCCCCCCUCAUGCGUGUGACGUCUCUCUCAGAUUCUCCUUCUGCUGAAGCUUCCUGGUGCUGGACUCGAUGAUCCUGGUGGAUCCUUUCCAAUUUGGGAUGCUCCAUGACUCCACCAUUUGCUCUGCUCAGCCCUGUGGAACAAACAUGCCCAAGCCACAAUAGUGAAGGGAGGAAAUGAGCAGUUUCAGCUCUCUCCUGUUGGAGUUUGACCUGCAGUACUUGGAAAAAAAAAAAAAAAGAAAACA